AGCUGUAUUGCAAAUAUAGGAUCGAUUUUUUAAAUUGUGUGGAUAAAGAAUAGCAAAUAUAUGUUCAUGCUAAAUUUAUGAUCACACUUCCGUUAAACAAAUACACAAAAUUUCAAAGCCAUUACUAAUCCACGGAAAGAGUAAAAACAAAUGUAUUUAUAACUGAAUAGGGCAAGGUUGAAAGGAAGCCAGAAAUUUCUCAAAAUAACUAGUACUAAAUUCAAGAAAGGAACUCACAUGGUAUAUCUCCAAAUGCGCUGGAAAAGUAGACAAUUUCUUCUUGCCAGGCCGAACAGUUUUUACAACACGAUCACAUCAGACUAAAAGGUUCUUUUUAAGCAGAAUGUUGCCAAUAUCUUCUGGUUCCAAACUUCUAUCAAACUCGAGUAUGUCUAGACUAAAAGGUUCUUUUUAAGCAGAACGUUGGCAAUAUCUUCUGGUUCCAAACUUCUAUCAAACUCGAGUAUGUCUUUCAGUUCUAAAUGAUUUCACAAAACUAACAAAAUCUUUUCCUCUGAAAUACUCUACCCGUGUUUCCUGUA
rnacentral:lncRNA from 1 species